GUAAGGAAUAUUGGACAAUGGACGCAAGUCUGAUCCAGCCAUGCCGCGUGAAGGAUUAAGGUCCUCUGGAUUGUAAACUUCUUUUAUAAGGGACGAAAAAAGGCUUUUCUAAGUCGUCUGACGGUACCUUAUGAAUAAGCACCGGCUAACUCCGUGCCAGCAGCCGCGGUAAUACGGAGGGUGCAAGCGUUAUCCGGAUUCACUGGGUUUAAAGGGUGCGUAGGCGGGCAGGUAAGUCAGUGGUGAAAUCCUAGAGCUUAACUCUAGAACUGCCAUUGAUACUAUCUGUGUUGAAUAUUGUGGAGGUAAGCGGAAUAUGUCAUGUAGCGGUGAAAUGCUUAGAUAUGACAUAGAACACCUAUUGCGAAGGCAGCUUACUACGCAUAUAUUGACGCUGAGGCACGAAAGCGUGGGGAUCAAACAGGAUUAGAAACCCUUGUAGUCC
rnacentral:rRNA from 1 species